rnacentral:lncRNA from 1 species
CAAGGAUCUCCCUGGAUGUGGCACUCAGUGCUCUGGACUAGGUGACAAGGUGGGGAUUGGUCUUGGGUUGGAUGAUCUUGGAGGUCUUUUCCAACCCAAAUGGUCCUGUGAUUCUGUGAUCACUGCAGGCUGAAUUGCAGCUGAGGUCUACCCGUGGUCAGUGAACACCAUGAAGCAUCUCACACUUUCCAUUCUGGAAUCACACAUCUCUGAUAAUCCCUGCAGGCACCAAACAGUCUGAGAUGUCGAGAGUUACCCCAGCAUGGCUGCUUCUGGACUUUUCUGCUGCGGAGGACCUGAAGAAGCUCACAGAUGAGACAGAGCCUUUUCCAGAGAAAAUUCAGGAGACAUUUUGGCCUCGUAAGAAGCCUUAAGCUCUUCAGAGGAAGAUGCUAAGGGAAGUGGUGAAGUGACAACUCCUGUCUCCUCUCCUUAAUCCUGUCAGCCUUGGGAUUUCAACAUGAGCUGCUGAGAUGGGAGCAUCAUCUUGAUUUGGAGCUCCAGUCCAGGUGGGUGUUGAACAUGCCAGGUGUAGCAGCCUGGGUUCAGCAGGGAUUAUUUAAACAUGGCAGGCUUUUAAUUCUGGGGAUGCCUUUAAGCUGAGAGG